CCAUGGAGGGGGGCGCCCCCCUGGGGACGCUGCAGGCGGAGCUGGGGACGCUGCAGGAGGAGCUGGGCGCGCUGCAGGCCGACCACGUGGCCCAAUGGGGGCAGAUGGAGCGCGAUUUGGCCUCGGCCAGAGCCCAGGCGGCCACCGCCACCGGCAGAGCCGCAGCCCUGCAGGAGCAGCUGGACGCCUGGCAGACCCGCCUGGACGCCAUCAGGGCUGAGGUGGCCACGUGGCACCACGAGGUGGCCGCGCUGAGGGGAGAGGUGGCCACAGUGACACGAGAGGUGGCCACGUGGCACAAGGAGGUGGCCAUGCUGAGGGGAGAGGUGGCAGAGGUGGCCGCAGUGACACGAGAGGUGGCCACGUGGCACAAGGAGGUGGCCACGGUACAGGACAGGGUGGCCACGUGGCAGCAGGAGGUGGCCUUGGUGAGAAGAGAGGUGGCAGAGGUGGCCACAGUGACACGAGAGGUGGCCACGUGGCAGCAGGAGGUGGCCAUGCUGAGGGGAGAGGUGACAGAGGUGGCCACGGUGAGGGGAGAGGUGGCCACGUGGCACAAGGAGGUGGCCAUGGUGAGAAGAGAGGUGGCCACGGUGCAGGACCAGGUGGCCAUGUGGCAGCAGGAGGUGGCCACAUGGCACAAGGAGGUGGCCAUGCUGAGGGGAGAGGUGACAGACGUGGCCGCAGUGACACAAGAGGUGGCCACGUGGCACCAGGAGGUGGCCUUGGUGAGAAGAGAGGUGGCAGAGGUGGCCACAUGGC
rnacentral:lncRNA from 1 species